UCUGCAUCUGUAUACUCGUAUUUUUAUCAUUACUGUGAGAACCACAAGCCACAAGUGGACGAGCCCUGGUAAUCGACCAAUCCGCGAGCUCUAAACAAUGGCCAUGGAUUAUCGCACGCAUUUAUGCAUGAUGAUGACAGAUGACGCAGUGCGUCAGGAGAUAUGUUCCAAGAAGACUAAGAAAUGAAACCAAUUAAAUACGGAUCACCACCAUCUGCUGCAAAGUCGCCGUUUUGAUGCCCCAGGCUUUACAAAUCACGUAUACGCAGCGUAAACGUGAGUUAUUAUAGAUGGAACUACUUUCUGAUCUAAAGAUUUAUUUUCAU
ensembl:ncRNA lncRNA:CR44620 long non-coding RNA:CR44620